AAAAUAUUCACUGCAUUGUUGUCAAAUUGCUUCCUCAUGUAACACCUUUGUCAGUCCAUACACAGUUCAUAAGUUUAAAGACCACACUAACAACAGAAUAGAUUUAAUGAACUUUACUGAAAUAUUAAUAAUAAUUCUUCUCAUCAUCAUUUCUUGACUCUCUGUCAAUGUCUCUUUGCUUGUUUAUCAUCAUUAAAUUAACAUGAAUCUUUCCAUUGACCUUUGGGUCACUCACUGUUUGUUUUAAGGUACUAUUUUUGUACAUUUGCUUUUGGAAAAAGUGCUAAACAAAUCAAACUGGCCAGUCGUCAUUCCAUCUAUAUUCACAUCUAUUCAAGCGCAAAGUGAAAGAAUGUCUUUCUGAAUGCAGGUGUUCACAAAGAAACUAUCAGUUCAAAUAACAAAUAUCUCAAUGUCACAUGAAAAAACUGGUUUAAGCUAAUGUUGAGAAAUUACAACUAGUUCCAGUAAAGGUCCACCUACAGGUAUUAAAGGCACUGAUGAGAUUGUGAGAUCUGCAGUUCAGCAUCACUGUGUUGAACUACUGAAGAGAGAAUCUCAUAGACCAGUCAUCAAUCUGAGAUUGCUCUGCAGCCGAUCUGACCUCAGGUGCUGUUCGUCACAAUGAGGUUUCUGAUCUCACUGUGUGUGUCGCUGCUGCUGAUUAAUGGUGAACUAACCGAUGGACAAACAACAGGUACAAUCAUUCUUUCACUUCAUCCAAUCUUCAAUUCAUCCUUUGUUUUUCAUUAAAAAUGUUGAAAUAAAUG